GUAGGGAAUAUUGCGCAAUGGACGAAAGUCUGACGCAGCGACGCCGCGUGAGUGAUGAAGGCCUUAGGGUCGUAAAGCUCUGUUGAAUGGGAAGAAAAAAAUGACGGUACCAUUCGAGGAAGGACCGGCUAACUUCGUGCCAGCAGCCGCGGUAAUACGAGGGGUCCUAGCGUUGUUCGGAAUCAUUGGGCGUAAAGGGUGUGUAGGUGGCCAUGUAAGUCAGGUGUGAAAGCCCCGGGCUCAACCCGGGAAGUGCACUUGAUACUGCGUGGCUUGAGUACCGAAGAGGGUAGUGGAAUUCCAGGUGUAGUGGUGAAAUACGUAGAUAUCUGGAGGAACACCGGUGGCGAAGGCGGCUACCUGGUCGAGUACUGACACUGAGACACGAAAGCAUGGGGAUCAAACAGGAUUAGAUACCCCAGUAGUCC
rnacentral:rRNA from 1 species